AAAGGAGGUAUGUGUGAAUAGAACACAUUCCAUUUUUUUUUUGUAUUUAAAAUAAAAGUAAAAAGUAGAAAUACUCCAGGAGAGUUGCGUCAGUUAUCUUGCCAUUAUGGACUAUGUUGUGGUCCAUGCCGUUUAAUUGGAAUUUUCAUAGGCUUCGGUCAUAAAAAGACAUCAACAGAAAAAUAACUAUUGUCUGUGCAAGUAAUGAAAAUAUUCUAGUGGAACAUCUUAACAUUUAAAUGGUAAUUUUGAAAUACUCAUGCUGAAUCCUUAUUAAGAAAGAUCAUUGUAUCUGCACAUAUAGCGUGAUGGCUGCUAGAAGCGAAAAAAAAAAAAAAAGAAGGAU
rnacentral:misc_RNA from 1 species